CAACUUUUAACGGUGGAUCUCUUGGUUCGUGCAUCGAUGAAGAACGCAGCCAGGUGCGAUAAGUAGUGUGAAUUGCAGAAUUCAGUGAAUCAUCGAAUCUUUGAACGCAAAUGGCGCUCUUGGGUUCUCCCAGGAG
rnacentral:rRNA from 1 species